GUGCUCCCUCUCCCCUCUUCAUGCCCAAAAGGUUGGGCAUCCAUCUGGUGAAGGAUCAAGGCGUGGUGACGCAUUGAACAAAGGGCUGCAGGAGUUUUUCGACAAGCUGCUACUCCAACUUCAGGAAGGCUUUUGAAGAUCUUUCUAAUCAGAUUGAGUUUUGAUUUUUGGAGAAGAGAGUCAUGAGAAGAAGAUGAUCCAGGUCCUAUCUAAGUGGAUACUGGUAGAGGUCAGGCGAUUGCGUG
rnacentral:lncRNA from 1 species